AGAGAUUAAACUGAAGAGUUUGAUCCUGGCUCAGAUUGAACGCUGGCGGCAUGCUUUACACAUGCAAGUCGAACGGCAGCGCGGGCUUCGGCCUGGCG
rnacentral:rRNA from 1 species